rnacentral:rRNA from 1 species
GUUGUUGCAGUUAAAAAGCUCGUAGUUGGAUUUCUGUUAAUAAUUUAUAUAAAAUAUUUUGAUGAAUAUUUAUAUAAUAUUAACAUAAUUCAUAUUACUAUUUUUUUUUUUAGUAUAUGAAAUUUUACUUUGAGAAAAUUAGAGUGCUUAAAGCAGGCAUAUGCCUUGAAUACUCCAGCAUGGAAUAAUAUUAAAGAUUUUUAUCUUUUUUAUUGGUUCUAAGAUAAGAAUAAUGAUUAAUAGGGACAGUUGGGGGCAUUUGUAUUUAACAGUCAGAGGUGAAAUUCUUAGAUUUGUUAAAGACARACUAAUGCGAAAGCAUUUGCCAAGGAUGUUUUCAUUAAUCAAGAACGAAAGUUAGGGGAUCGAAGACGAUCAG